UGGCGGACGGGUGAGUAAUGUCUGGGAAACUGCCCGAUGGAGGGGGAUAACUACUGGAAACGGUAGCUAAUACCGCGUAACGUCGCAAGACCAAAGAGGGGGACCUUCGGGCCUCUUGCCAUCGGAUGUGCCCAGAUGGGAUUAGCUAGUAGGUGGGGUAACGGCUCACCUAGGCGACGAUCCCUAGCUGGUCUGAGAGGAUGACCAGCCACACUGGAACUGAGACACGGUCCAG
rnacentral:rRNA from 1 species